GACGAACGCUGGCGGCGUGCCUAAUACAUGCAAGUAGAACGCACAGUUUAUACCGUAGCUUGCUACACCAUAGACUGUGAGUUGCGAACGGGUGAGUAACGCGUAGGUAACCUGCCUGGUAGCGGGGGAUAACUAUUGGAAACGAUAGCUAAUACCGCAUAAUAUUAAUUAUUGCAUGAUAAUUAAUUGAAAGGUGCAAUUGCACCACUACCAGAUGGACCUGCGUUGUAUUAGCCAGUAGGUGAGGUAACGGCUCACCUAGGCGACGAUACAUAGCCGACCUGGGAGGGUGAUCGGCCCCACUGGGACUGAGACACGGCCCAGACUCCUACGGGAGGCAGCAGUUGGGAAUCUUCGGCAAUGGACGAAAGUCUGACCGAGCAACGCCGCGUGAGUGAAGAAGGUUUUCGGAUCGUAAAGCUCUGUUGUAAGAGAAGAACGGGUGUGAGAGUGGAAAGUUCACACUGUGACGGUAUCUUACCAGAAAGGGACGGCUAACUACGUG
rnacentral:rRNA from 1 species